UACGUAGGCAGCGAGCGUUGUUCGGAAUCACUGGGCGUAAAGCGUGCGCAGGCGGACUAUCCAGUCAGGGGUGAAAGCCCAAGGCUUAACCUUGGAAUUGCCUUUGAAACUGAUAGUCUGGAGUGUGUGAGGGGGUAGCGGAAUUCCGAAUGUAGAGGUGAAAUUCGUAGAUAUUCGGAGGAACACCGGUGGCGAAGGCGGCUACCUGGCACACAACUGACGCUGAGGCCCGAAAGCGUGGGGAUCAAACAGG
rnacentral:rRNA from 1 species